GCUAAGAUAGUUUAAUUUUAGAAUUUGUAACUUGUAAUUACAGGGUUUAUGUUAGCA
rnacentral:tRNA from 1 species